rnacentral:other from 1 species
AGAGUCCUGAUGUGUUCGUUGUCCAACCUGAAGUUUUGACCGAACAUUAUGUACUUCGGGAGUCCGGGGUUUCCAGGCUGAGCACAUGCCCCUGUGGAUUGGGGACUUGCAAGGCCAGGGACAGGACACCCACCUGCUGAGAGCGGGUUCAAAACGAAGGCAUUUAAUCGACGGCACAAUUGGGGCUCUU